rnacentral:rRNA from 1 species
GUGCCAGCAGCCGCGGUAAUACGUAGGGUGCGAGCGUUGUCCGGAAUUACUGGGCGUAAAGAGCUCGUAGGUGGUUUGUCGCGUCGUCUGUGAAAUUCCGGGGCUUAACUCCGGGCGUGCAGGCGAUACGGGCUGACUUGAGUGCUGUAGGGGAGACUGGAAUUCCUGGUGUAGCGGUGAAAUGCGCAGAUAUCAGGAGGAACACCGAUGGCGAAGGCAGGUCUCUGGGCAGUAACUGACGCUGAGGAGCGAAAGCAUGGGUAGCGAACAGGAUUAGAUACCCUGGUAGUCCAUGCCGUAAACGGUGGGCGCUAGGUGUGGGGGUUUUAUUUACGAUUCCCGUGCCGUAGCUAACGCAUUAAGCGCCCCGCCUGGGGAGUACGGCCGCAAGGCUAAAACUCAAAGGAAUUGACGGGGGCCCGCACAAGCGGCGGAGCAUGUGGAUUAAUUCGAUGCAACGCGAAGAACCUUACCUGGGCUUGACAUACACCGGAUUGGGCUAGAGAUAGUCUUUCCCUUUGUGGCUGGUGUACAGGUGGUGCAUGGUUGUCGUCAGCUCGUGUCGUGAGAUGUUGGGUUAAGUCCCGCAACGAGCGCAACCCUUGUCUUAUGUUGCCAGCAUUUGGUUGGGGACUCAUGAGAGACUGCCGGGGUCAACUCGGAGGAAGGUGGGGAUGACGUCAAAUCAUCAUGCCCCUUAUGUCCAGGGCUUCACACAUGCUACAAUGGUCGGUACAACGCGCAGCGACACUGUGAGGUGGAGCGAAUCGCUGAAAGCCGGCCUUAGUUCGGAUUGGGGUCUGCAACUCGACCCCAUGAAGUCGGAGUCGCUAGUAAUCGCAGAUCAGCAAUGCUGCGGUGAAUACGUUCCCGGGCCUUGUACACACCGCCCGUCACGUCAUGAAAGUUGGUAACACCCGAAGCCGGUGGCCCAAACUUGUUAGGGAGCCGUCGAAGGUGGGAUCGGCGAUUGGGACGAAGUCGUAACAAGGUA